AACUGGUCAAUAACACCAAAAUGAUCAACGACACUGGUGAAUACCAAUCAUCAUCAGUACCACCACCGAUCACCAGUAGCUCCACCAUCGCCACCAAUCACCAGCAACUCUACCACCAAUCAUCACUAAUUUCAACGCUCAAUGAUCCCAAAAUAACACCAAAAAAUUUCCAAUUAGAUAGAGCGCAAAAUAACAACAAAAAUUCUCAAUCUAAUAGUCUCAAAAUAUUAACAAAAAAUUGUCAAUCAAUGAUCCCAACCUAACACCAAAAGCCUUCAACAUAUCAAUCACAUAGUGGCUCUACUAUCAACUUCAAAUUAAUCCCAAAUUCAAUAGAAACAUGAAUGCAAAAUUAGAUCUGACGAUGGCCAUUUGUCGGUGGUGUCAGUUGAAGGACGGAUGGAAGGAAAUGAAAAGGGAAGCAAAAAAAGAAAAAUCAAUUGACGGCCAAGGAGGAGAAAUCGAGGUCCACUGCCUUCAUGUAAUUGGAGAGUGAAGACCCUCUUGGCUUGCUUGGAAUACUGAGAGACAGAGCCUCCUAAUCAACUGUGAUGGGGCCGAGACCUUCGAACGAUUGGUGAUGAAGAUACAGACAAAAGAGCCGGUUUUGUUGCCUAAGAAACUAAUGAUUCAGAGGAGAAAGAGACUAAGCAAUCCAAGUCUCCAAAAAAAGUUGCUGCUUAGAUUUGGGUUCUUAAUUUUACAGAAGAACACAUGAAAAAGUCAUGAGUCUAGAUCGGCGGUGAUAGAGAUGCUGCUGAAAAUGAAGAUGGCGAGAUGGUGAUAGCAAGAUGAUGGCAGCAAUGAAAGGGUGGUGUUGGCUGGAUUGAUGGGGCAAGAAAAAGAAAGAAAAAUCAAAGGGGAAAGGGAAAACAGAAAAAUGUUCUGAAAAAAAGGAAGAAAUAAAAGCCCAUUCUGACAUUUCCUUGAAGAAGAUGAUACUUCUUAUAAAAUUUCAAAUGAGCCCCUUAGUUCUACCUUUGUUUUCAACUGAAGGAAUAAAGUUUUUAAAACUUUAAUUGAGCCCUAAGUUAACCUUUGAUUUAGUUUGGAA
rnacentral:lncRNA from 1 species